AGUAAAUGUGGAGCCGUAGCGAAAGCGAGUCUGAAUAGGGCGUUUAGUAUUUGGUCGUAGACCCGAAACCAGGUGAUCUACCCUUGGUCAGGUUGAAGUUCAGGUAACACUGAAUGGAGGACCGAACCGACUUACGUUGAAAAGUGAGCGGAUGAACUGAGGGUAGCGGAGAAAUUCCAAUCGAACCUGGAGAUAGCUGGUUCUCUCCGAAAUAGCUUUAGGGCUAGCCUCAAGUGAUGAUUAUUGGAGGUAGAGCACUGUUUGGACGAGGGGCCCCUCUCGGGUUACCGAAUUCAGACAAACUCCGAAUGCCAAUUAAUUUAACUUGGGAGUCAGAACAUGGGUGAUAAGGUCCGUGUUCGAAAGGGAAACAGCCCAGACCACCAGCUAAGGUCCCAAAAUAUAUGUUAAGUGGAAAAGGAUGUGGCGUUGCCCAGACAACUAGGAUGUUGGCUUAGAAGCAGCCAUCAUUUAAAGAGUGCGUAAUAGCUCACUAGUCGAGUGACACUGCGCCGAAAAUGUACCGGGGCUAAACAUAUUACCGAAGCUGUGGAUUGUCCUUUGGACAAUGGUAGGAGAGCGUUCUAAGGGCGUUGAAGCAUGAUCGUAAGGACAUGUGGAGCGCUUAGAAGUGAGAAUGCCGGUGUGAGUAGCGAAAGACGGGUGAGAAUCCCGUCCACCGAUUGACUAAGGUUUCCAGAGGAAGGCUCGUCCGCUCUGGGUUAGUCGGGUCCUAAGCUGAGGCCGACAGGCGUAGGCGAUGGAUAACAGGUUGAUAUUCCUGUACCACCUAUA
rnacentral:rRNA from 1 species